AGUGAACGCUGGCGGUAGGCCUAACACAUGCAAGUCGAACGGCAGCACAGUAAGAGCUUGCUCUUACGGGUGGCGAGUGGCGGACGGGUGAGGAAUACAUCGGAAUCUACUUUUUCGUGGGGGAUAACGUAGGGAAACUUACGCUAAUACCGCAUACGACCUACGGGUGAAAGCAGGGGAUCUUCGGACCUUGCGCGAUUGAAUGAGCCGAUGUCGGAUUAGCUAGUUGGCGGGGUAAAGGCCCACCAAGGCGACGAUCCGUAGCUGGUCUGAGAGGAUGAUCAGCCACACUGGAACUGCGACACGGUCCAGACUCCUACGAGAGGCAGCAGUGGGGAAUAUUGGACAAUGGUCGCAAGCCUGAUCCAGCCAUACCGCGUGGGUGAAGAAGGCCUUCGGGUUGUAAAGCCCUUUUGUUGGGAAAGAAAAGCAGCAGGUUAAUACCCCGCUGUUCUGACGGUACCCAAAGAAUAAGCACCGGCUAACUUCGUG
rnacentral:rRNA from 1 species